GCACACACACACGCGCUCAUACACACGCUCACACACACACACACACACACACACACGCUCACAAACACAAAACACGUGCACGGAAAAGAAGUACCAAUGAUGAAAAGGACCCUGUUGAAUAUUUGUGAUGUUGCAACAAAAUUCAUUCCAAGUCAAUUUCACAGACACUUGAUCAUGCACAGCACGACAUGAGUACAUGGCUCUGACUUUGUACCUUGUCUGAUGGCUAAUGAACAAAAAACUGCAGAAUACAUUUAGUGCGAUGAGAAAAGGCCUCGGUCUGACUCCCCUUGCCACAAUCACAUCCGCUCUGCCUCUUGCUAAUCAGCUUUGUGGCUGCAGUUCCAGGUGAAUCUAAUCUGCACACCAUUUUAUCUGAACUGACAAUUGUCAUUUAGAGCUUGGCGGCUGAUGGCCGUAAUGUUUUGUAAUGGCUCUGAAAGCACAGUGUGUAGCUGAGACGGGCGCACGUGAGCUGGAGAUGUUUAUCGAAGCGCUCUCAGACGGAUAAGUCUUAUCUGAGAGUCACAGAGCGUUCAAGCAGCGCGGCCCGGACCCCGAGUAGCAGAGGGACAAGAGGCCAGACCCCGAGUAGCAGAGGGACAAGAGGCUAGACCCCGAGUAGCAGAGGGACAAGAGGCUAGACCCCGAGUAGCAGAGGGACAAGAGGCCAGACCCCGAGUAGCAGAGGGACAAGAGGCCAGACCCCGAGUAGCAGAGGGAGAACAUUUUCAUUGCCAAAAUGGCAUGCCCACUUCACGGAAGUAUAGUGUGGAGCCAUGUGCACCAUGUCUGCCAUCCGCGCUGUCUGACUGACAAGAAAAAAGGGUUGAUCGGCAAAGUGGCUUUUGGGGAAACCUAUUGACAGUACGAAGGGAAACUUCUUAUGUUUGCAAAUUGCAACAUUUUAUACAAUUUGUAUACAUUUGUGUACAGUUUAUGCAAUUAAUCUAGAAUUAGUUAUAGUGGUUGAAGUGAAAAUGUGUCAUUAUCUGAAUUAUUAAG
ensembl:lncRNA